GAGUUGUAUAGGGUAAGGAAUGAAAUAAUAAAAUUAUUUUUAAUUAAGUGAUAUUAAGUAUAAAUGAAUUGAAAUAUUCUGUAUUUGCUAUAGUGAAGAGUACUGUGAAGGAAUGAUGAAAUAUUUGAAAAGUUAACUGGGUAAAAGUAAAAAUUAACGUUUGUACCUUGUGUAUCAGGGAAAACCAAAUUUUUUUUAGUAGUAGAAUAUCCCGAAAGAAAAAGAGUUAAUGUAAAGUAAGAGUUUUCGUUUUAAUGAAAUUUUAAAUUUUAUGUUAGUGGUGAAAUGCCAGUCGAUUUUUCAUAUCUGGUUGCUGAUGAAUUAAAUUUAAUUUGAUUGUUAGUUGGGUAAAGAUUUAAUUAACAUUAAAGAAUAGGAGGGAAAAGCUUUUUAUUCUAAAAUAAAGGAACUAUAAUUCUGUUGUUAUUAUGAUGUAAAAUUAGGCUUAAAAGCAGCAAGAUUGAUAAAGCGUUCUAGCUAAUAUAAGUUUGUUAUACGAUUUUUAUAGAAUUUAGUCAGAGUAGUUGGCAUUUUGGUUUAACUUUAAAUUUAAAGUUAUAAUGGUUUUAUUAGUAGAAAGAAAUUGUGAUAAUAAGUAGUCUGGAUUAAGUUAAGCGAUUUUAAUCUGUUGGUAUAUAAUUAAGGAACUCGGCAAAGUAUAUUUUUGCCUGUUUAUCAAAAACAUGUCUAUAUGAGAGUUAUAUAAAGUCUGGCCUGCCCACUGAUUUGAAUUAAAGGGCCGCGGUAUUUUGACCGUGCGAAGGUAGCAUAAUCAUUAGUCUCUUAAUUGGGGGCUUGUAUGAAUGGUUGGACAAAAAAUAAGCUGUCUCGGUUAUAUAUGUUGAAUUUAACUUUUGAGUGAAAAGGCUCAAAUGUCUUAGGGGGACGAUAAGACCCUAUAAAGCUUUACAAUUAUUUAAUUAAAUUGUAAAUUGUUUAUUUAACAUGGUUUAGUUAAUGUUUGUUUCGUUGGGGCGACGGGAAUAUAAUUUAGUAACUGUUCUUUAUGAGAGACAAUAAUUUUUGGUAUUAUGAUCCUCUAUUAGAGAUUAAAAGAUUAAGUUACUUUAGGGAUAACAGCGUAAUCUUCUUUGAAAGUCCAUAUCGACAAGAAGGGUUGCGACCUCGAUGUUGAAUUAAGGUUUCUUUAUGGUGCAGCAGUCAUAAUGAGAAGGUCUGUUCGACCUUUAAUUCCUUACAUGAUUUGAGUUCAGACCGGCGUGAGCCAGGUCGGUUUCUAUCUCCUAAUAAAAUUUAAAUCAUCUUAGUACGAAAGGAUUGGGUGGUUGAAAUAGUUUUAUUUAAAAGAAUUAUAUUAAUUG
rnacentral:rRNA from 1 species